UAGGGAAUCUUCGGCAAUGGACGAAAGUCUGACCGAGCAACGCCGCGUGAGUGAAGAAGGUUUUCGGAUCGUAAAACUCUGUUGUUAGAGAAGAACAAGGAUGAGAGUAGAAUGUUCAUCCCUUGACGGUAUCUAACCAGAAAGCCACGGCUAACUACGUGCCAGCAGCCGCGGUAAUACGCAGGUGGCAAGCGUUGUCCGGAUUUAUUGGGCGUAAAGCGAGCGCAGGCGGUUUCUUAAGUCUGAUGUGAAAGCCCCCGGCUCAACCGGGGAGGGUCAUUGGAAGCUGGGAAACUGGAGUGCAGAAGAGGAGAGUGGAAUUCCAUGUGUAGCGGUGAAAUGCGUAGAUAUAUGGAGGAACACCAGUGGCGAAGGCGGCUCUCUGGUCUGUAACUGACGCUGAGGCUCGAAAGCGUGGGGAGCAAACAGG
rnacentral:rRNA from 1 species